UACGGAGGGUGCGAGCGUUGCUCGGAAUCACUGGGCGUAAAGCGCGUGUAGGCGGCCCAUUAAGUCUGAUGUGAAAGCCCGGGGCUCACCCCCGGAAGUGCAUUGGAAACUGAUGGACUCGAGUCCCGGAGAGGAGAGUGGAAUUCCUGGUGUAGCGGUGAAAUGCGUAGAUAUCAGGAGGAACACCGGUGGCGAAGGCGGGUCUCUGGGCCGAUACUGACGCUGAGGAGCGAAAGCGUGGGGAGCAAACAGG
rnacentral:rRNA from 1 species